rnacentral:rRNA from 1 species
CCCUGUGCCCUGGGAUAGCCAUCUGAAAGGAUGGGUAAUACCGGAUGAUAUCAUGGGUCGAUGGGCCUGUGAUCAAAGAUUUAUCGGCGCGGGAGCGGCCUAUCUCCUAUCAGCUUGUUGGUGAGGUAACGGCUCACCAAGGCGAAGACGGGUAGCGGGACUGAGAGGUUGGCCCGCCACAUCGGGACUGAGACACUGCCCGGACCCCCACGGGGGGCUGCAGUAACGGAUCUUGGGCAAUGGGCGAAAGCCUGACCCAGCGACGCCGCGUGCGGGAAGAAGUCCUUCGGGAUGUAAACCGCUGUCAGGGCUAAGAAAGUCCACUUCGGUGGAUUGAUCUACCUCAGAGGAAGUCACGGCUAACUCUGUGCCAGCAGCCGCGGUAAGACAGAGGUGGCAAGCGUUGUUCGGUAUCACUGGGCUUAAAGCGUGUGUAGGCGGAAGCGUAAGCAUUUUGUGAAAUCCCUCGGCUCAACCGAGGCAUUGCUUGAUGUACUGCGUUUCUUGAGGCAGGUAGGGGUGCGCGGAACUCUUGGUGGAGCGGUGGAAUGCGUAGAUAUCAAGAGGAACGCCGGCGGUGAAGACGGUGCACUGGGCCUGUCCUGACGCUGAGACACGAAAGCGUGGGGAGCAAACGGGAUUAGAUACCCCGGUAGUCCACGCCGUAAACGAUGCCUACUAGGUUGUGGCGGUUCUGACGCCGGCACAGCCGAAGCCAAAGUGUUAAGU